rnacentral:rRNA from 1 species
AACGUAGGUACCGAGCGUUAUCCGGAUUCACUGGGCGUAAAGCGCGUGCAGGUGGUUUGGUAAGUCGGGCAUGAAAACUCUUGGCUCAACUGAGAGACGCUGUCCGAUACUGCCGGACUUGAGGGUGUAAGAGGGAGGUGGAAUUCCGCAUGUAGUGGUGAAAUGCGUAGAUAUGCGGAGGAACACCAGUGGCGAAGGCGGCCUCCUGGUACACUCCUGACACUCAGGCACGAAAGCGUGGGGAGCAAACAGG